GGCGUAAUAGUUUAAGUUAGAAUUCCUGUCUUACACUUAGGGGGUGGUUUUCCUGUCGUCA
rnacentral:tRNA from 1 species